UCCUCUUCUUAAAAUUAUGAGCUGUUGAAGCCCAGAGAGUCAUCAGACAUCAUCCAGACCAGAGGUGUUCAGGCUGCUUUUACCCUCAAAACCUUUCUCCAGAUGAAAUUUCACACAGAGGCCCAGAAAAUCAAGCAUGGGGGAGGGGAGAGUCUUUAUGAUAAAAGCAGCUCUGGCAUGCCUGCUGGGAAAGCAACUCCAGAGACGUCCUCAGCCAGAGGGGAAGCCAGAUAGGGAGAACAGCACUGCGCCCGACUGGGCAGUCUCCUCUAGAAUAAACUCCCAUCCUGGCUUCAAGGAAGUGUUUUUUUUUUUAACUAAAUUUUCAUCAACAACCAGAACUCACUCCUCACCACCACAGACAACGUUCCUUACAAAGAGAACUGUCUUGUCUGUCAUAUUCAAGGGAGACAAUCUCUGGCCCCAUCUCUCCCACUCCUGCAUAUAAGAACAUUAUCAGGUUGAAAUAUCUGAUCUACGCACCUCAGAUAAGAGAGAAAAGGAGUAGGCAGCCAGGAACUGAGCUGAGGAGAGCCAGGGAGAAGAAAAACUCAGAAGGAGAAAGAACCCAUCAAAAAAAGCCCUACUGUGGCACCAGACCAGGACCACCUCCCAAGAAGGCAGCAGGACUGAGGACGCCGGGUACACAGCACACUCAGAGCUGUCUCCUGAUCUGCUUACCCCUGCAUCUGCAUCUGGGGGAUGCUCAGCACCUCCUGCUUCCUGUCGACUCCAGCCUCAGGAUGCUAGUGGCCCUCAGUGGUCAGGACUUGCACCUCUGCGGGCUCAGGCCUGACCUCCCCAACCAGGAAGCGAAUCCCCAACCCCCACCUCCAUCCCCUUUGUUACUUUACCUUCAUCAGGUAGUUGGCUCAUCACAUAAAACAUCCAGUUAAAUUUGGAUUUCAAAUAAACUAAGAAUCCUUUUUUUAG